GGCUCAACCUGGGAACUGCGCUUGUGACUGCAAGGCUAGAGUACGGCAGAGGGGGGUGGAAUUCCACGUGUAGCAGUGAAAUGCGUAGAGAUGUGGAGGAACACCAAUGGCGAAGGCAGCCCCCUGGGUCGAUACUGACGCUCAUGCACGAAAGCGUGGGUAGCAAACAGGAUUAGAUACCCUGGUAGUCCACGCCCUAAACGAUGUCAACUAGGUGUUGGGUGGGUAAAACCAUUUAGUACCGUAGCUAACGCGUGAAGUUGACCGCCUGGGGAGUACGGCCGCAAGGUUAAAACUCAAAGGAAUUGACGGGGACCCGCACAAGCGGUGGAUGAUGUGGAUUAAUUCGAUGCAACGCGAAAAACCUUACCUACCCUUGACAUGUCAGAAACUUGGCAGAGAUGCCUUGGUGCCCGAAAGGGAAUCUGAACACAGGUGCUGCAUGGCUGUCGUCAGCUCGUGUCGUGAGAUGUUGGGUUAAGUCCCGCAACGAGCGCAACCCUUGUCGUUAAUUGCCAUCAUUUAGUUGGGCACUUUAACGAGACUGCCGGUGACAAACCGGAGGAAGGUGGGGAUGACGUCAAGUCCUCAUGGCCCUUAUGGGUAGGGCUUCACACGUCAUACAAUGGUCGGUACAGAGGGUUGCCAAGCCGCGAGGUGGAGCCAAUCCCAGAAAGCCGAUCGUAGUCCGGAUUGCAGGCUGCAACUCGCCUGCAUGGAGUCGGAAUCGCUAGUAAUCGCGGAUCAGCAUGUCGCGGUGAAUACGUUCCCGGGUCUUGUACACACCGCCCGUCACACCAUGGGAGCGGGCUCCGCCAGAAGUAGGUAGCCUAACCGCAAGGGGGGCGCUUACCACGGCGGGGUUCGUGACUGGGGUGAAGUCGUAACAA
rnacentral:rRNA from 1 species